rnacentral:lncRNA from 1 species
NNNNNNNNNNNNGAUCUGUGGGAUGCUGCUCCAGCCCCAGCAGUGCCCCCUCAGGGCUGGGCUCUGGGUGGGAGCAGGAGAGGACCUGGACACCAACAAAGGCAGGAAGUGCCUGCACCCCCUGGGGCUGGGGAUGUGCUCAGAGCUCUUUGCUUUGUGCAUUGAAUUCAUUUCCCACAGCACAGACAAAAGGGUUUUUAUCUGGGGGCCACUCUGUGAGUCCAGGGCAAACCUGGGGUGGGAUCACACUCCUGCUCCGUGCAUUCCCUGCAGAUCACCAUUGUUGUCACCAGACUGGGCCCUUUGGCUCCUGCUCCCCCAGCUGACCCUUCCUGCUGCCACUGUGCCCUCACAUGGAAUGCCUUGGGUGGGAAUGACCUCAAAGCCCAUCUUGUUCCCACCAGCCCAGGUUGCUCCAAGCCCCUUGCACACCCCCAGGGAUGGAGCAGCCCCAGCAGAGAACAGACGUGGAUUCACAGCGGUGCCAGUGUGGCAGAGAAGGCUCCUGGAGGGCUUUUCCUGCAAGGGGAGCCACACGUGGCCCCAGCACUGUCCAGACACGUCCCCAGCUCUGCUCUUGUGGCUGCUGGGUUUGUCCCGGGGCUGGAGGUGCUGGGAGAGGGCAGCACAUCCCUCUGGAAAACACACAGCGAGCAAGGCUGACAUUUUCCCACCCUCUGAGCACACCCAGGAUAUUUUCUCCCCAAAGCCAGGAGCUGCUGUGUGGGAGGGCUGUGGAGAACACAGGGAAAGCCACCAAGGCAGGGUGAGCCCUUGGAGCAGCAGGUGGGAAUGUCCCAGCACUGGAGGGAAUUGCAAAACCCAUAAAACUGUUGUUCCUUUGAAGAUUUGUGUGCAAGAUGAAAGGCCCUAAAUCUGUUUGGGUUGGGAAGAAGCCACUGAAGGGUGGGGUGUGACAAGGGUGCACAGAUAAAUCAAAACAAGGAGCUGACAGGGAAUUGUGGCUGGAACUAAUAAAGGGAUCCUGGGAGGGAAAUAAAUUCA